AACGAACGCUGGCGGCAGGCUUAACACAUGCAAGUCGAACGCAUGCCUUCGGCCAUGUGUGGCAGACGGGUGCGUAACGCGUGGGAACCUACCCCUUGGUACGGGAUAGCUCCGGGAAACUUGAGAUAAUACCGUAUGUGUCCUGAGGGACAAAGAUUCAUCGCCAAGGGAUGGGCCCGCGUCGGAUUAGCUAGGUGGUGGGGUAACGGCCUACCAAGGCGACGAUCCGUAGCUGGUCUAAGAGGAUGAUCAGCCACAUUGGGACUGAGACCAGGCCCGAACUCCGACGGGAGGGAGAAGUGGGGAAUAUGGGACAAUGGGCGCAAGACUGAUCCAGCCAGGCCGCGAGAGUGAUGAAGGCCGUAGGGUGGUAAAGCUCUUUAACCGGUGACGUUAAGGACGGUAACCGGAGAAGAAACCCCGGCAAACUUCGU
rnacentral:rRNA from 1 species